rnacentral:rRNA from 1 species
UUCCUACGGGACGCAGCAGUGGGGAAUAUUGCACAAUGGGGGGAACCCUGAUGCAGCGACGCCGCGUGAGGGAAGACGGUCUUCGGACUGUAAACCUCUUUCAGCAGGGAAGACAAAAGGACGGUACCUGCAGAAGAAGCCACGGCUAACUACGUGCCAGCAGCCGCGGUAAUACGUAGGUGGCAAGCGUUAUCCGGAAUUACUGGGUGUAAAGGGUGUGUAGGCGGGGCUGCAAGUCAGAUGUGAAAAUUAUGGGCUCAACCCAUAACC